UAGGGAAUCUUCCGCAAUGGGCGAAAGCUUGACGGAGCAACGCCGCGUGAGUGAUGAAGGUCUUCGGAUCGUAAAACUCUGUUAUUAGGGAAGAACAAAUGUGUAAGUAACUAUGCACGUCUUGACGGUACCUAAUCAGAAAGCCACGGCUAACUACGUGCCAGCAGCCGCGGUAAUACGCAGGUGGCAAGCGUUAUCCGGAAUUAUUGGGCGUAAAGCGCGCGUAGGCGGUUUUUUAAGUCUGAUGUGAAAGCCCACGGCUCAACCGUGGAGGGUCAUUGGAAACUGGAAAACUUGAGUGCAGAAGAGGAAAGUGGAAUUCCAUGUGUAGCGGUGAAAUGCGCAGAGAUAUGGAGGAACACCAGUGGCGAAGGCGACUUUCUGGUCUGUAACUGACGCUGAUGUGCGAAAGCGUGGGGAUCAAACAGG
rnacentral:rRNA from 1 species